rnacentral:rRNA from 1 species
UGGGGAAUCUUAGACAAUGGGGGCAACCCUGAUCUAGCCAUGCCGCGUGGGUGAUGAAGGCCUUAGGGUCGUAAAGCCCUUUCGCCGGGGAAGAUAAUGACGGUACCCGGUAAAGAAACCCCGGCUAACUCCGUGCCAGCAGCCGCGGUAAUACGGAGGGGGUUAGCGUUGUUCGGAAUGACUGGGCGUAAAGCGCGCGUAGGCGGAUCGGAAAGUUGGGGGUGAAAUCCCGGGGCUCAACCUCGGGAUGGCCUUCAAGACUUCCGGUCUUGAGUUCGAGAGAGGUGAGUGGAAUUCCGAGUGUAGAGGUGAAAUUCGUAGAUAUUCGGAGGAACACCAGUGGCGAAGGCGGCUCACUGGCUCGACACUGACGCUGAGGUGCGAAAGCGUGGGGAGCAAACAGG